AUGUUCUUCUACGUCAUCUACGGCCAUCCGUUCAAGCUGGGCGCCUCUACAUCACCGGGAUCGACUGCUUCGUCCCCGCGGCCGUCGGCGCCUCUCCGGCGAAUUUCGGCGCUCUCUGCUCCUCCCGGCAACCAACGAGCCUCCGUGAGCUCCCUUGAUACUGGAGCCCUGGAGCCAGACGCCACCGUCGACGAUGAUUCCUACUACACUGGAGGUGCCUACUACUACAUGCAGGCCGCUGACGACGACCAGGAGAAGUUUAGGAGGAUCCCAGGCAGGAGGCCUGCACCUCUUUCGAUCUGUAUCCCAGUUUGUGCUAGCCUUCUUAAGUCAAACUUGUUUAACUUAUGUUUGUACUCAGAUAUUGUUGCUUCCGUUGACUCGUCUAUGAUCGAGCACUUGUAUUCGAGCCCUCGAGGCCCCUGGCUUGUAUUAUGA
rnacentral:rRNA from 1 species